UCUUCUCCUUGGAUUGCGAUGAGGGCAGC
rnacentral:sRNA from 1 species